GCAGUCUGCCGGUCUGUCGCUCAAUUCGUUGGAUUGGGAGGAAAGUCCGGGCAACACAGGACGCCAUACUUCCUAACGGGAAGCUGUUCGCGAGGGCAGAGUAACGUAACAGAAAAAAACCGUCCCGCACAAAAGGCGGAACAAGGGUGAAAAGGUGAGGUAAGAGCUCACCGGGUAUUGUAGCAAUACAGUAUGCCGUACGUCUUAUGGGUUGUAAGAUCAUGUAUACCGGCGCAUGUAGGGUUGUCCGCCCGAUGCCGGGGGGUAGAUCGCUCAAGUUUACCGGCGACGGUAAAACAAGAUAAAUGACAGACGCUUUCCCCAAAAGGGAAAGAACAGAACCCGGCUUACAGGCAGACUGCUUUU
rnacentral:RNase_P_RNA from 1 species